GCCGCUGUAGCUCAGUUGGUAGAGCACGUCAUUCGUAAUGAUGGGGUCGGGAGUUCGAGUCUCUUCAGCGGCACCA
rnacentral:tRNA from 1 species